rnacentral:rRNA from 1 species
UACGAAGGGGGCUAGCGUUGUUCGGAUUUACUGGGCGUAAAGCGCACGUAGGCGGAUUGGUCAGUUAGGGGUGAAAUCCUGGAGCUCAACUCCAGAACUGCCUUUAAUACUGCCAGUCUCGAGUCCGGAAGAGGUAAGUGGAACUCCUAGUGUAGAGGUGGAAUUCGUAGAUAUUAGGAAGAACACCAGUGGCGAAGGCGGCUUACUGGUCCGGUACUGACGGCUGAGGUGCGAAAGCGUGGGGAGCAAACAGG